rnacentral:piRNA from 1 species
UGCCUGAAUUUGGAUUCCUCAGACCUGUU